UACGUAGGUGGCAAGCGUUGUCCGGAUUUACUGGGCGUAAAGAGCGCGCAGGCGGUCGUUCAAGUCGCGUGUGAAAGCCCCCGGCUCAACUGGGGAGGGUCACGCGAUACUGAUCGACUCGAAGGCAGGAGAGGGUAGUGGAAUUCCCGGUGUAGUGGUGAAAUGCGUAGAUAUCAGGAGGAACACCGAUGGCGAAGGCAGGUCUCUGGGCUGACACUGACGCUCAUGCACGAAAGCGUGGGGAGCAAACAGG
rnacentral:rRNA from 1 species